GGACUACCCGGGUAUCUAAUCCUGUUUGAUCCCCUUGCUUUCGCGCUUUAGCGUCAGGAAUAAGCUAGAAAACCGCCUUCGCCACUGGUGUUCUUCCACAUAUCUACGCAUUUCACCGCUACUUGUGGAAUUCCAUUUUCUCCGCCUACCCUCAAGAGACGCAGUUUCAAAUGCUGUUCCGGAGUUGAGCUCCGGGAUUUCACAUCUGACUUACAUCCCCGCCUACGCGCCCUUUACGCCCAAUAAAUCCGAUUAAUGCUUGCACCCUCCGUAUUACCGCGGCUGCUGGCAC
rnacentral:rRNA from 1 species